rnacentral:rRNA from 1 species
GUUUGACGAGAGAAAUAGUGUCUCAAUAAAAAUUAAUGAAUUUUAUUUUUAAGUGAAAAAGCUUAAAUAAUUUUAAAAGACGAGAAGACCCUAUAGAGUUUAACAUUAAGUUUAUAAUAAUUUAUUGGAAUCAUUUGUUAUUAUAAUAAUUUUUGUUUAGCUGGGGUGGCUUUAAAAUUGAUUUCCUUACUCUAAACAACACCAACACCAGAGCUUACCUC